rnacentral:misc_RNA from 1 species
GGAUAACUAUCAUCAUAUCACAUUUACAAAAAAAGAAAUGAGAAUAUAAACUCCCAAUCAGUGAUAUAAUAUAUUCAACCUCGAUAUCAAUUAACAAAACCAAUCAGCAAAACCCAAGAAAACCAAACUAUACAUAAUAUAAUUGCCAGAAGUAUAAAUCUUAGAAAAUUGAUCAGCAGAAACCCAGUUCAAAGCUUGCUGCCAAGAAAUUUCAAAUGCUAAACCCAAAUUCUAAUGAAGUCAAAACCAGGAAGUUUGAAGGAGGGAAAAAAAUGAACCACCAAAUUCUAAACCAUAAUCUCAAUCCAACAAGCAAAUAAAACUUGAUUAUAAAAAACUCAAAAGCCAACAACCCAAACAAAAUUUGAUUAUAAAUAACUAAAAAUGAAUAAGGCUUCG